rnacentral:rRNA from 1 species
GAUGAACGCUGGCGGCGUGCCUAAUACAUGCAAGUCGAGCGAACAGACGAGGAGCUUGCUCCUCUGACGUUAGCGGCGGACGGGUGAGUAACACGUGGAUAACCUACCUAUAAGACUGGGAUAACUUCGGGAAACCGGAGCUAAUACCGGAUAAUAUAUUUAACCACAUGGUUCAAGAGUGAAAGACGGUUUUGCUGUCACUUAUAGAUGUAUCCGCUCCGAAUUAGCUAGUUGGUAAGGUAACGGCUUACCAAGCCAACGAUGAGUACCCGACCUGAGAGGGGGAUCGGCCACACGGGAACUGAGACCCGGUCCAGACUCCUACGGGAGGAAGCAGUAGGGAAUCUUGCGCAAUGGGCGAAAGCUUGACGGAGCAACGCCGCGUGAGUGAUGAAGGUCUUCGGAUCGUAAAACUCUGUUAUUAGGGAAGAACAAAUGUGUAAGUAACUAUGCACGUCUUGACGGUACCUAAUCAGAAAGCCACGGCUAACUACGUG